UGUAGCCUUGUCAUUCAGUGCCUCUACAAUGGACCGCACUGGCCGAAAUGACUGCCACAGUGAACCUGUAGUCCAUGGGCCUCCUGUCCCAUCUCCAUGGAUCCUGUGGAUACAUUUGUACUACUGACAAUU